rnacentral:rRNA from 1 species
UCCUACGGGAGGCAGCAGUAAGGAAUAUUGGUCAAUGGGCGGAAGCCUGAACCAGCCAUGCCGCGUGCAGGAAGACGGCCCUACGGGUUGUAAACUGCUUUUGUACGGGAAUAAACCUUGAUACGUGUAUCAAGCUGAAUGUACUGUAAGAGUAAGGAUCGGCUAACUCCGUGCCAGCAGCCGCGGUAAUACGGAGGAUCCGAGCGUUAUCCGGAUUUAUUGGGUUUAAAGGGUGCGUAGGCGGCCUGUUAAGUCAGAGGUGAAAGGCGGUAGCCUAACUAUCGGAGUGCCUUUGAUACUGACGGGCUUGAAUGCAGCUGAGGUAGGCGGAAUGUGACAAGUAGCGGUGAAAUGCAUAGAUAUGUCACAGAACACCAAUUGCGAAGGCAGCUUACUAAAGUGUGAUUGACGCUGAGGCACGAAAGCGUGGGGAUCAAACAGGAUUAGAUACCCUGGUAGUCCACGCCCUAAACGAUGAAUACUCGAUGUUGGCGAUAUGCGGUCAGCGUCUAAGCGAAAGCGUUAAGUAUUCCACCUGGGGAGUACGCCCGCAAGGGUGAAACUCAAAGGAAUUGACGG